rnacentral:misc_RNA from 1 species
UCCGUGUUAACCACGGCAGUCUCUCUAGAGUGCCCAACUUAAUGCUGGCAACUAAAGAUAGGGGUUGCGCUCGUUGAGGGACUUAACCCGACAUGCCACCACACGAGCUGACGACAGCCAUGCAGCACCUGUCACUUUGUUGUAUUGCUACAAAAGCUAGAUCUCUCUAGUUGUCAAAGGAUGUCAAACCUAGGUAAGGUUCUGCGCGUUGCUUCGAAUUAAACCACAUAAUCCACCGCUUGUGCGGGCUCCCGUCAAUUCCUUUGAGUUUUAGUCUUGCGACCGUACUUCCCAGGCGGGGUACUUAUUGCGUUAGCUCCGGCUCCGCAGGGGUCAACUCCCACGAAGCCUAGUACCCAUCGUUUACAGCGUGGACUAC